AUUGAACGCUGGCGGCAUGCCUUACACAUGCAAGUCGAACGGCAGCACGGGUGCUUGCACCUGGUGGCGAGUGGCGAACGGGUGAGUAAUACAUCGGAACAUGUCCUGUAGUGGGGGAUAGCCCGGCGAAAGCCGGAUUAAUACCGCAUACGAUCUACGGAUGACAGCGGGGGGCCUUCGGGCCUCGCGCUAUAGGGUUGGCCGAUGGCUGAUUAGCUAGUGGGUGGGGUAAAGGCCUACCAAGGCGACGAUCAGUAGCUGGUCUGAGAGGACGACCAGCCACACUGGGACUGAGACACGGCCAAGACUCCUACGGGAGGCAGCAGUGGGGAAUUUUGGACAAUGGGCGAAAGCCUGAUCCAGCAAUGCCGCGUGUGUGAAGAAGGCCUUCGGGUUGUAAAGCACUUUUGUCCGGAAAGAAAUCCUUGGCCCUAAUACGGUCGGGGGAUGACGGUACCGGAAGAAUAAGCACCGGCUAACUACGUG
rnacentral:rRNA from 1 species